AUUCCAUGUUACAGCCAUUUCCUUAAUACUCUUUAUAUCUCUCCUAUGUUUCAUACAAUGAUUCAGACUCCAAUUGAUGAAAAGAAGAAAUAUCACUUCUAAGUUU